rnacentral:rRNA from 1 species
GACGAACGCUGGCGGCGUGCUUAACACAUGCAAGUCGAACGGAAAGGCCCUGCUUUUGUGGGGUGCUCGAGUGGCGAACGGGUGAGUAACACGUGAGUAACCUGCCCUUGACUUUGGGAUAACUUCAGGAAACUGGGGCUAAUACCGGAUAGGAGCUCAUGCUGCAUGGUGGGGGUUGGAAAGUUUCGGCGGUUGGGGAUGGACUCGCGGCUUAUCAGCUUGUUGGUGGGGUAGUGGCUUACCAAGGCUUUGACGGGUAGCCGGCCUGAGAGGGUGAACGGCCAGAUUGCGACGGGGAUGCGGCCCAGACUCCUCCGCGAGGCAGCGGCGGGGAAUAUUAUACUGUGGGCGGAAGCCUGAUGCAGCGACGCCGCGUGCGGGAUGACGGCCUUCGGGUUGUAAACCGCUUUCGCCUGUGACGAAGCGUGAGUGACGGUAAUUGGUAAAGAAGCACCGGCUAACUACGUG